CUUUAAAGAGUUUGGGAUGCCUCUGCUGUGUAUUGCUUCCUCAAAAGUCAAGAAAAAGGCCUUCAGUGCAGAGAAGAACUGCUGUCUGAGAAUUUUUGAAUCCUCUUGGGAAACAUGGAAACAAAGAUCUACUUUUUAAAUAUCUUUCAGGACACUUGACAUGUUCCAGAGAAAAGCUGUUUUUGAGGGGUUUUUUGUUGGGUUUUUUUUCCUUCAAAGUUCAGAAGAAUCUGUAUUCUCUGGGAUUUUAAAUAAGUAUAAAAUGAAAACAGUUUAAAGUUUAGCCUUCAAAAUGAAUGUUGAAAAGUCUGAUGACAAAGCAGAGAAUGGCUUGAAGUCUUCCUUACUUAGAAGGGAUGAAAAUGGAAAUAACUACGCAUAUCACAGAGCUGCACCUUCUGCAAAGAAUUGUGCCACCGAGACAGACAGGAAUUCAACUGACCAAAAUACAGUGACUGAGCAUGAAGAUGAUACCAUCAUUCUUGAAAAUAAGAGUGACUUCAAAAGUAUUCUUUUAAAACAGCAAGGUAUUGAAACACUUCAUCUGCAGAAGACACCUGGUGAAUGCAACCGUACAGGAGCUCUGUUGGGAGAUGCAGCUGCUGCAUGCAAGUCUUCCAUGACUGAACAGACUUGUGAGUGCCCUUUGAACUGUGACUUGAAAGAAGCAACAAACUUGCUGAAAGGUAAUGUUGCUGUGGCAAAAAUGCAAAAUCAGAGUAUCAAACAAUUGGUGCCUUACAGUCAGGCUGACUCUAAGUGUGUAUUACCUCCUCCUUUUUCAGAACAGAACACGCAGUCCCUGAUAAAUGACAGGGUAUGCUGCCACCUGAGCAUGUUGGAUGUUACUAAUGUUAUAGGUGAAACUCUGGGAACUGAUCAAAAUGAUGACAUGUACCCGAGAGAAACACUAAUCUCUUCUGAAGUAUGCAUGAGAGAGAAACCUGAUAGAACCAGCUCGGAAAGAAUUAAUUUCCCCUCUACGAUAGUGGCUUCAGAAAGCCCAGAUGCCUGUUCAGAACCUGAAGUUUAUCGUUCUUCCCCUGCAGGCAUCAAGCACUAUCUAAAUAACACUGACAAGCCUGAUAAAGAAUCACAGGAAACAGAAGCAGAGUCUGUAAAACUAGCUUCUGGAUGUAUUGAUCCUUAUAGGCAAGAUGCAUUAUCACGUGUUAAUAUUAAUGAAGAUGACCAAGUGAAAUCCUCUCAGGAUACGCCUGACCACAGUGAAACUGGGAAUUCCAGUGCUGAAACAUGCACGGAUAGUCCUGAAAAUAAUGUGCCCCUUCUCCCACUAGCUAAAAUGGAUGAAGAACAAGUAUCAAAGAAAAGCAGUGAACUCUUAACCAAAGAACAAGGUAUCUCUGGAAAUGCUGCUCUUCAGGAUACGUGCAACACCUCUUUCGUGUCUUGCAGUGUACCAAAAUUAAAGAGGGCUGUUACACCUGAUCUGAAAUGUGAAGCAACUUUUGUAGUCUUCAGUCCUAUGGUUGAUGAAAGCGAUCCAGCUCUAUGUACUUCAACCCCUAAAGAACUAUCAAAAAAUACAACUUUUUCUGUUCCAGCUUUGGUGGAACUUGGAGACAAGUCUCCCAAACUGAGACCAAAUGAGGCAUUUGUAGGAGGGCAUAAUAGGCAGCCUUCACGUAAGGCUAGUUCAGGUCAAACUGCAGGAAAAACAGUGGGCAGGUCUCCUAUUACGUCAACAAUAACCAAAGCAAAGAAAUCUGAGAUUGUUAGUUUUCCCAGGCCUAAUUUCAAAAACGUUAAGCCAAAGGUUAUGUCCAGACCUUCGCUACAGUCAAGAGACAGUGCAGCCUUAAAACAGUCUCCCCAGUCCCCCCAACUAUUAGCUGUCUCCUCGCCCUCACUGGUUGCUUCCCCGAGGCAAUUGUCCCCCUCUAUAAAAGUGCUGAAAAAAAAAAUAGAUCUAGCUAAAGAUAGUGCAGUGGAAUUGCCUGUGAAUAAGCCCCAUAAGCUACAUCUUAACAAACACCUCUUCACUAGCCAAGUCGUACAUGCCACAACACAUCCCAGAAACGCUUCCCACAAGGCUUCAAAGACACCUCUGUUAAAACAGAGUCCGGAAGACACUGGCAAAGCAACCUCUACCCAUUCGGCAUGCUCCUCUGUUUCUGCUGUGCUUCCAGCAUGUGUAGAGAACUCAAAAGAAAUGCUGAAUGAUAAAAUGGAAAGUUCAAACUCCUUAAUGCAGCCCUGCGCUCAGAACACCUACCUGACCAGAGGUGAAAAAGAGCAAAGCAGCAGCAUGGGAAUUCUUCUGGAAGCAGCCUUGUUAAACGAUGUGGCAAAUGAAACAUUUGACCUGCACUCUGUUCCUUUGAUGCCUUCUGUGAAGGAUGGGACAACACAAGGGAAAAGCAUACCGAAGAAAGGUCCAGUCACACUACGGAGUGCAUCAGCUCCCAAGGUUAAAAUGGUGCCAUCUGUGUUGCCCUUGAAGAGAGGAUGUGAAAACAAAACUAUCAGCGCAGUUAAAACACCUUCUCACAAAGGAGCUGUUCAGUCAUCAAGCUCUGGAUCUUUGCCAAGAGAGAGGCAUGCCUCCAUGAAAAAUUCUCCAGUCUCCUGGGCUAGCUCCGGUAAACUGCUCGCCAAAUCCAAAGUGCCUGUCAAAAGAUCAGUGCUUGAGAGAACUCCUAGCAUCUCAUCAGUCAGCAGCACUCAGAGUGAGCCAAGUCUUUUCAGCAGUAACUCUGCAAGUGCCACAGUCAUUAUCAAGAAUGGAGAAUGGCCUAAAAAAACAGCCUGUCAGAAUGGUACUUCUGCUCCUGUCCCUUUGAAAGCAGUACCAAGACCUAGGUUACACUCGUUGAAGUCAACCCCAAAAGGAGCCAAGGCCAGGUCUGUUUCACUGAACCAGUGCACAUCAAAAUCAUCUGGGUCACUGUACUCAGCAAGGAAAGUCAGUGAGACUAGAGGUAAUCGGCUGUUGGGCACUCCUGGAAGAAAUGGACACCAAAGCCUAUCUUGCUUGGGUUCUGUUGAUAAGGGCAAGCAGCGGAGUCCCAGGAGCUCAUACAUACAGACUCAAGCCUCCUCAGAUGUGCAUUCGCCUGGCACAAAAGCAGCCGAGCUGACACAGUACAAAACAAAAUGUGAGACUCAAAGUGGAAUCAUCCUGCAGCUGAAAAGAUUCCUGACAAGCAGCAACCAGAAGUUCGAAGCAUUAACAGUUGUGAUCCAGCACCUGCAGUCUGAGAGGGAGGAAGCACUGAAACAGCGCAAAGAGUUAUCUCAAGAACUGGUUAACCUUCGAGGAGAACUAGUAACCACUUCUGCAGCUUGUGAGAAAUUGGAGAGAGACAGGAAUGAACUGCAAGUUGCUUAUGAAGGGUUUCUGCAGAAGUUAAACGAGCAACAUCACAAUGAUUUGGCUGAGCUGGAGGAGAGGCUUAAGCAGUUCUACACCGCAGAAUGUGAGAAACUCCAAAGUAUAUGCAUUGAAGAAGCUGAAAAGUACAAAGCGCAACUCCAGGAGCAGGUGGACAAUUUAAAUAUCACACAUGAAAACUUUAAGCUGGAACUUGAAAAGAGCCACUCAGAAAAAGUAGAGGAGCUGAAAAAGGAGUAUGAAUCCUCUUUCUCAGAGCUCAAGAGUGCUCAUGAAUCCGAAAGGAAGUCGCUUGAAGAUUCCUUUACGAAGAAGCAGGAAUCGCUAGAGAAAAAAAUCGAUGAAUUAAAAUGUGAAAAUGACUCCCUGAGUGAGAAGUUGAAAUUAGAAGAGCAAAAACAAGUAGCCAAAGAAAAAGCCAAUCUUAAAAACCCACAGAUUAUGUACCUGGAACAGGAGCUUGAGAGUCUGAAAGCAGUGCUGGAGAUCAAGAAUGAGAAACUCCACCAGCAGGAUAUAAAGCUAAUGAAGAUGGAGAAACUGAUGCUGGUCACAGUAUGUGAAAGCCCUUGGACCAUCCAACCAUUUAAUCACUGUUUGUUCCUCUACUUUUGAUAACAUCCUGCAGCAAUGAAGUGGAAUCAGGAGAGCAGCCAGGAGAGCUGUUUCCACAGGGGAGCUGUUGAAUUUGUCAGAUUAGCACGUGGGUUCUCGACAGUCUUCUGCCUGCAGCAGCUUCUAAAACUGCUGCCCGCUGCUGGCAAAGGUUUCUAGAACGUGCUGGUUAACUAGUAGAUCCCUCAUCCAACCCUCCUUUGCUGCCAUCUGAUCAGCACAAGGCGCGAAAUGCCAGUGUUAUGCAAGGAUCAGGUAUGCAGGAUCUGUUUGACUGUUACAGAACAUGAAGCCACGAUAGCAGGUCUGCCUCACAUUAUGCCAGGCUUUUGCACUUACUGUAACAAGAUCUGCAAGCUCCAGAUUAUGAACAUCUGUGAUAGCUCAGUCGCUAUCUGAGUGCAUGUAUGAGUUUUAUUUUAAACUGUGACCUUUUUUCCUAAGCUGGAGAACAACACAAUCUUAAUGGAUAAAUUAAAGAAGGUUCAGCAAGAAAACGAAGAAUUAAAAGCUCGGAUGGACAAACACAUGGAGCUUUCAAGGCAACUCUCUACAGAGCAAGCUGUUUUACAGGAGUCACUAGAGAAAGAAUCAAAAGUGAACAAGCGCCUGUCAAUGGAAAAUGAAGAACUGCUGUGGAAGUUGCACAAUGGUGACCUAUGCAGCCCCAGAAAACUGUCUCCCAGUUCUCCAUCUGUGCCUCUUCAGUCCCCACGGAAUUCUGGUAACUUCUCUAGUCCUACAGUAUCACCGAGAUGACAUCUCUUGAGAGAAAGAGGGGAUUGCAUUUCAUUUGUGAUCUGCAGAACCAAUCCUCACUUCAAUCACAAGAGCUGUAUUAGCCAAGUAUGGCAACUAAACAUAACUGGAAACUAUUUGGUGCAGAAGUGGCGGUAAGAGACUGAGAAUAUGGGAGUAAGACAUUCAUGUUGCUCUUCCCAAAAGACUUGUUUAUGACCUCUAUGGACAUUGUUGCACAAAGCACUUACAGAGCAAGGAAAGACUUGUUCAUUGCCUUUUCACCUAACUAUAAGGAAAAGCUCAGGGGCUUAGAGAUAAAGAUCACCACCUUUAUAAUACGUUCCUUAUUACAGACACUUUUUUUUAAGGCUGUGUGUAUGCGUGUGUGCGUGCGUGUGCCGUGGGUGGAACGGAUGUAACACACUGUGCGUGUGUCUAAUGCUGCCUUCUUUGCUGUGUACGUAAUAAAGGAUAAAAGCUGAAGACUAUACAUUGAUGUGUACUUCCUUAACGCUGUUGUCAGUAUGCAUGCUUUUAGCAGAGAGUACCCUCACCUCGGAAUGAGGAGAAACUGCCACUAGUACUUAGGUUAGUUUCCUUCAUCUUUCUGGCUUUGGCUCAGUAAGAAAAAGGCCUGAAAAGCUUUGUCAAAUUAGCGUCUUGGCUGACCUGAGUAUGCAACUCUGAAUUAAUUUUAAAACCAAACUGAACUGCAGCCGUAUUUUGCAUGGAUUCUCAGUUUAAUAUCCAUGCACAACUCUGCCAUUUACAAGGAGAUUUUUUUUUCCAGAAUACAGUGGAUUUUGGCUUUCAAGCCACAGGGUUAUAGUCAGAACCAUGGUAGCCCUCAAGGUCAGAAGUUACCAGUUGAGUUGCAGGUUUAGAAACCUAGAUCUUUAAUUGUACCUGCUGAAAAGGAAUCACGUAUUUCCCCAAAACAGCAUGUCUGCUGCUGAGGCAGUCUGCUGAGGAUAAACUAGAUGAUAUAGAUUUGAAAGCCAAAGAGAAAAAUGCAAUAAUUGUCACUAGGCAUAUUCUUAAAUCAGUUCUCAAGAAGAAUCUGAAGUAAUGUGUGAGUUCCAAUAUAUCUGGUAACACACUUUGCCUUUUUAAGCAUUAGCAUUUAUAUUAACAUUCUUCAGGGUUUGCUAAGUUCACCUGACGAGAAGGGGGAAGUGAUAGCCAUGUAUUUAGCUUGCUAAUUCUGCCAUAGCUUCCCUUUUAGAUUGCAGGAUAUCAGUGUGUUGCCAGUUCAUGUGGCAAAAGAUCCUAUACAAGAGAUCCUGUAGAGAAAAAAAUUGUCCGGGCUGCUGGAACUGGAGGCUGAGAGUGUCAGCACUUCAGGAAAUGUGCUCAGCUUCAGCUUCAACAAGGUAAUCACGUAGCCUUGCUACACCCUUAGUCAGACCUGUUUAAGAUGUCUACAUUAUACCUACUAAACACAGGUUCGACUUCAAAUUAGUAUUACAAAACAACAUCUUACAAGCUUACAGUAGCUUGGGGUUUACAGCACCACUUCCAGGACCAUUGGUACAUGACUGCUUAGCUAAUGCUGUUAGCCAGCUCUGCUAGUAACUGUUCUGGUAAAUGGCAUCUGCUGUGUUUCCCUCCUUUUCAGCAGCUUGGGGACAGAAAUGAAGGGGGUGGAAAGUGUUUGGGUAACUCAGCUGGAGAACCACUUCAAACAAUUUUGCCCAAGACUUGAAAAAUCUUGGCUAGUAAUGAGGAACACAAAGAUAUAAACAAGACUGUUAACAGUGCUCAUACAGUAAAACUUGUACUAUACUUAAACUUGUGAUUGACUAUUUAAUCAUUAAAUUUACUUAAUUUUCCAUAAUGUGCAAGCUGAGGGUGCCAUUUCUAUGGAACGUUAUGCUCUCUUUUAAUCCUCUGUAAGGCACUAUACAGUACCACUUGUUAGUGGUGUCAGUACUUAAAAUGUUUUCUAGGGGUUUCAAAUUUAACGAUGAAGAUCCUCUGCGGGCUACAACUGGGCUUAAAGUGUAUCUUGGAACAUUCUUAUUUUCUAUGGUCAAAGAGAUUUGAUUAAUUACAUGUAUUUGAGCUGAAUGCUUAAAUAAAUUUUUUGUACCGAUUGAA